ACGCAGUGGAGUGGCUGUGGAUAAACCUACUGAUUGCAAAAGGCUUUCUUGAUUUUAUAAAGCUUCCUGAUUGCGUGUGUUAGUGCGCCACGGAUGCUGAAAGCCUGAAACUGCUCAAGUAGCGCGCAACGACAAGAGCAACGAGGAACAUCAGUUAGGACUACCUCCACAAAUUGAGCAUCGGUUACCCCAUUGCAUCGUCCUCUUCGGCGGCGCUGGCGCCCACACCACCGAACCCUCUUCCAGCUUCCUUCCACCCGAGCACGCCGGUCACCCAUCAUCGCCGAAGCCCUCCCCCUCCUGCUUCAGCUGUGCUGGUAUUAGAUUAGAUCAAAGUGGACCGCGUCGGGUUGGGUCCAGUCCUUUCGCUGAUUGCGGUUGCAGAUUCCUCUCCUGCGAGGCACGAGCUGAGUCCUAUCCCUAUCCGCCCUUGUUGCAGCGGUGCGGAAGGCAAUGGUGGGGUUGGGAUGGAGAGUCGGCUCAAAGGUGCAGAGAUGGGGCCGGAGCUGCCUCCGGGGUUUCUCUUCUGCUGCAGUUCCGUCUCAGCUGGAGAAUGUCGGAUUCAUCGGACUUGGGAACAUGGGUUCCCAUAUGGCAAGGAACUUGAUCACGGCUGGAUAUAAAGUGACUGUUCAUGAUAUAAAUGAAAAUUCUAUGAAGAAAUUCUCAGAGGAUGGAAUCCCUACAAAACAGUCUCCACUUGAAGUAUCAGAAUCGAGUGAUGUCAUAAUUACCAUGCUUCCUUCAUCUACUCAUGUUUUAGAAGUAUACAAUGGACCCAAUGGCUUGCUUUGUCGGGGCGAACGCUUGGGCCCAUGGUUAUACAUAGAUUCAUCAACAGUUGAUCCACAAACAUCAAGAAAGAUAUCGACAGCCAUCUCAAGAUGCCUUUUAAAAGAAAAGAAAGGUUACGCUGAAAGCCCUAAGAUUCUGGAUGCUCCGGUGUCUGGAGGUGUUCCUGCUGCAGAAGCUGGCAAGCUAACUUUCAUGGUGGGUGGUCUUGAGGAAGCGUAUUUAGCAGCCAAGCCCUUACUUCAAGCAAUGGGGGAAAAAACAAUCUACUGUGGUGGUGCUGGAAAUGGCUCGGCUGCAAAGAUAUGUAACAACAUGGCAAUGGCAAUCAGCAUGCUUGGGGUCUCCGAGGCCUUUGCUCUUGGCCAGAACCUUGGGAUCAAAGCAACUACUCUCACAGACAUUUUCAACUGUUCAAGCGCUCGCUGCUGGAGUAGGUAUUCUCUCCUUUGCUCAUCUUAUUGUGGUCUAAGCUGCUGCGACUUGGGGAUUUUCUUCCUAAAGAAUUGGAAGGCGAUACAUAUAAUCCAGUUCCUGGAGUUAUGGAAGGUGUACCAUCAUCAAGGAACUAUAGUGGUGGUUUCACUUCCAAAUUAAUGGCCAAAGAUUUGGAUUUGGCCAUGGCUUCUGCAUCUGGAGUUGGCUUCAAAUGCCCCAUGGGUUCCAAUGCACUUGAAAUUUACCGAAAACUAUGCGAGGAUGGUUGUGAACUCAAAGACUUCUCGUGUGCAUUCCGACAUUACUAUUCUGGCAAGAAUGAAGAGUGAUCUUGGAUACGCUGCAAAAUUUCCUCCUUUCGAAAUCAAUAAAACAGCAAAUAAAGUUAGGACCUGAUUAUGUCCCAUGAAUUGAAACAUUGAAACCAAUAUCUAGAAAGUGUGUUUCCUUGUUUCAUUAUUAGAUUACUUUCUAAUUGGUCUAAAUUCCUGGAACCGAACAGGACCUUAUUGGAAAGUUUACAGUAUAAGCUGUGUAGCAUUGUACCAGAGUCCAGAGACAUGGUGGUUGUUUGUUGACCAGUGGUGAUGAUCUGAUCAUCUGGUUAAAACUGUUAUUGGUUUUGCUUCUAGGCAAUCAAGUGAUACUGUUCUGGGACAGAUUCAACCA